GUUACCGGAAUGCCGUCGAGAAAUGUCAACAUCGACUUUUCGGCUGUAUGAACGAGUUACGAGCGAGAAAAACGAGUAUGAAAUAUAUUUUAAAACGACAGGAAUUCUUUGAGACUGCUUAGUUCUUUUUAGGGAGACCGCUAGAAAUCACAGUUGCUAUAACUGGUCUCACUGCAUUCAUCCUCAUUAAGGGGAUAGAAUUAUGCGGUAUUCUUCACUGCUGUCUACCCGUACGUGUUACGAUUGGCACGAUAUUAUACACUGAAGAUCCUCGCAGAUUUGCCUUAAGAGGAAGCCGACGUUACGCACUCCACGUCACAAGCGUCGAAAGUUGCGUCAUGAAAUGGUGCUUGCCUCGGCGACUGAUUGGCUCGCCAAGCCCCGCCAAGAAUUCGUCACUUAUUCCUCUGGAUGGGACACGGAUUUCCUUGUACACCGU
rnacentral:lncRNA from 1 species